CGGAACCGGUGCCCGCUUGGGAACGUGAGGACUGGCUGACUGGUGUCGGUUUCCCCCACGCAUAGGGUUACUUGACAGUUCCCGACGUGACAUCCUCUCCCUCGCCUUUUUGGCUUUUUGCUACACGCCGGAUUGCAUUCGGAAAAGCUGAUUCCCUGAAAGCGGCCCCUCCCCCUCAAACCAGGGAACAACAGUGAGCCCGCCCUGUCAUCCUUUGCCCUACAUCCAGCCUCAAGAUUAUGGAAUCCCAUGCCACUUUCUCCCAACUCAACCCUUUGACUAGGAAGCCCUUUUCCUUUUGGACGCCAGAAUUCCCCGCCCCAGAACUGCAGAGGGAAUAAAGAAGUGGUGAGCUGUGGUGAUCAACAUGAAGAUCCUUCUACCCUAGUGGACCAGACCACACACUACAAUGACCAAGUGACUGUAAUGUGUUGCUGUCUUUUGUUGAAUCACCUGACCUGACCACCAACCACGCUCAAAUUUCCUACUCCUCACACACUAGGUUCCAUUUUGUCCAUGAUUCUGGUUUUUGUACUGGGGAUUUGCUCUAUCACUGAGCUACACCCCCAAUCCUUUAUAGUCUUGAGAUGGGAUCUUGCUACAUUGUCCAGGCUGGACUCAAAUUUGCCUCAGCCUCCCACCUCCUAAAUCUCUGGGAUUACAAGUGUACCACUAUGUCUGGCUGAUCCUCUGCUUCUUUUAAGUCACCUAACAUUCAUUAUCCCUUGCUUUCUAUUGUCUGUAUUUUCUCCACUUCUUGAAAAAAGCUUAUUCUUACUGUUUCAUCUUCACACUUAUCUCACCUCUCUACCUUCUCCUACUUCCUUUAUAAACAACCUUCUUUUCCUUACUUCACCCCCUACCUCCUCAUAAUGUUCUACGUUAAUUAGAAAUAAAUGUUGAGGGGCUGGGAUUGUGGCUCAGCGGUUGAGCACUUGCCUAUAACGUGCAAGGCCCUGGGUAUGAUCCUCAGCACCACAUAUAAAUAAAUAAAUUAAAUAAAGGUAUUGUGUUCAUGACAACUAAAAAAAUAUAUUUAAAAAAAAUGUUGAAAGGGGUUUAGAAUUUGAUGGCAUUUCAAAUCACCUGAAAUUACUUCUAAAGUAUCCCAGAUGAUACUCUAUUAUAUUCUGCUUUGCUAUCUCAAGAAUAAUGAAUAUAUUAAAUGAGGCAAAGAA